UGGGGAAUCUUGCACAAUGGGGGCAACCCUGAUGCAGCGACGCCGCGUGAGCGAUGAAGCCCUUCGGGGCGUAAAGCUCUUUCGACCGGAACGAUAAUGACGGUACCGGGAGAAGAAGCUGCGGCUAACUACGUGCCAGCAGCCGCGGUAAUACGUAGGCAGCAAGCGUUGUUCGGAGUUACUGGGCGUAAAGAGUGCGUAGGCGGUUUUCUAAGUUCGGUGUGAAGUCUCCCGGCUUAACUGGGAGGGUGCGCCGAAGACUGGGAAGCUGGAGUGUGGGAAAGGCAGGCGGAGUUCCUGGUGUAGCGGUGAAAUGCGUAGAUAUCAGGAGGAACACCGGCGGUGUAGACGGCUUGCUAGACCAUAACUGACGCUGAGGCACGAAAGCGUGGGUAGCAAACA
rnacentral:rRNA from 1 species